rnacentral:lncRNA from 1 species
AUGAAAGUUUUGCAAAAGCUUUUUCUUCUUCUUUGUUCUUACAAGUCAUUAUUUACAGAUACUAUUACAGUACUGGGGACCAGGAACAGCCAUCCCUGCCUUUGUCACUGCAGGCUAUUGAUACAUACUACGAAAAACUACAUAAGACAACCCAGCUGGAAAUCAGAGCUGAAGAAUAAUAAACCAGCUUGGAGUGCCUGUUGCAACUGAAUCCCACGAGAUACUGCAAAUGUGAAUGUACUGUCGCAAAAGUGUACUGGUUCGUUGCUUGAACAAACCAAGACCUUCUGCUCGAGAGGAACCCUGAAUCUACCAGCCACGUGAGGGCAGCAAAGACUCAAGCUGUAAGAGGGCCGCAUGAGCCAUUGCAACAACUGAACAGGUCAGUGGUGGUUUGCUUUGUUUUGUUUUAAUUGUUAUUAUUAUUAUAGUUAUUCCACUUUGUUUCUUCCUUUCGCAGCUAUGUUUUAGGAAUGCUAUGUCAGGAUGGUGGAAGUUCUGCCACUGCAGUCUUUUAGAAAUGACCAGACAAAGCAAUGACAGUACAUACUUGAUUGCACUCUCUCGCAAUGAGGAAGGUUAAUUGGCUUUCAACAGGUAUUUCCAACAUUAUCUUCUGAUCCCCAAACAGACCAGUAGAUCCUUUAGAUCUGUACUUUCUUCGCACUGUGGCUGAGAGGAAUUGAAUCAUGGCAUAAGAAAAAAAAAACAACAACAAACAAACAAACAAACAAAAAAAUUUUAUCCUUUGGUCCUAAAGUGCAAAGCAUGGAGAACUGCACUGCUGCUUAGUAGCAUUUCUUCUUUUGAGUAGUAUGCUAUGCUGUUUACGUUCUCACAUUUUUUUCUGUUACAAUAAUUACAAAGCAUCCAGACACUGCAGUCAUCAUUAUUACGUUUCAAUUCUCUGUACAUUCUACAAAUGGGAUUUUUAUGCAAAGUGACACCAGAGAACCCCCCACCCCCCAGCUGUACAAUGUCUUUUCAGUACAAAUUUGUCUUAAAUGAAAAGAAUAUACAUUUCAGGUUUCUAUAUAAUUACUUUGUAGUAUUCACACUUGUCAGGGGAUAAACUUAAAAAGAAAUGUAAAUUAAUAAAAUUUAGAGAAAUAGAUAUGAAUGACCA